GAAAGUUGAAAAGAACUUUGAAGAGAGAGUUCAAAAGGGCGUGAAACCGCUUAGAAUAAAACGGACGGAGCCGUCUGAGGCCCACCGGAAUCAGUCGACGCGACGCGUGAAAGCGAGUCCGACGCGAAUACGGAACGAAAGUCCGGUCGGCUCGUAGGAUAAGAGUAGCGCUCGUUCGACGCAUUUCCGGAGGGUAAGCGCCGCGACCGAUGCGAGGCUAACGAAGCCGUCGGAUUGAGGUCGAGCUCGUUCACGCGAGUCUCGUAACCAGUCCGUCGGUCGGAAUAGAAAUCGUUGGACCGUGAAUAAAGCAUCGAGAGAAAUAGAUUCGAACGUCGGCGAUUCGUACGCGCUCGCUUAAUACGACAGACGUGCGACCGAUCGAUCGUCACCUGCUCGCAGGUUUCGGUUAGUGUCCGGUUCGUAUCCGAAGUCGUUGGCGACGUAUUCGACGUUCGGGCGUCCGCGGCGUCCGAGUCGGUCGCCCGUCCGACCCGUCUUGAAACACGGACCAAGGAGUCUAACGUAAGCGCGAGCUAAUGGGUGGAAAACCCAUAAGCGCAAUAAAAGUAAAAGUCGUCUCGGACGACCGAGGUACGAUCCCGCAGGGCGAAAAAUCCUCGGGCGCAGUACCGUCCCGUCCCGACCGCUCGUCGGUAGGGCGGAGAUAGAGUGCAUACGUUGGGACCCGAAAGAUGGUGAACUAUGCCUGAGCAGAGCGAAGCCAGAGGAAACUCUGGUGGAGGUUCGUAGCGGUUCUGACGUGCAAAUCGAUCGUCAGACUUGGGUAUA
rnacentral:rRNA from 1 species